rnacentral:rRNA from 1 species
UGAAACCAGGAUUAGAUACCCUGUUACACUUUAUAAAAAUUGUAAAAUUACCUGGGUAUUAAACAGUUAUUGUCUUGAAACUCAAAGGAUUUGGCGGUAACUUAGUCUGUUUAGAGGAACCUGUCCUGUAAUCGAUAUUCCACGAAGAAUCUUACUUUAUCUGGUAGAAGACAGCUUGUAUACCGUCAUUAUUAGAUAACUUUAAUAAGAGAUAAAGUUGUUGGAAUAGUUUAGCUAAUAUAUUAGAUCAAGGUGCAGCUUAUGAUAAAGAAAGAGAUGGGUUACAUUAUAACAAAUAUAAACGGAACAAUAAACGAAACUUUAUUGUUAAAGGUGGAUUUAAAAGUAAAAUAAUUUUAAUAAGGUACUUUGACUUUAGCUCUAGGUUAUGUACAUAUCGCCCGUCGCAA